AGAUGAUAUCUCCUUAAACCUUGACUGUGGUGUGCCCGGCGUACCCUGUAUAAAACUAGUGUGUGGUCCCUUUAAACUCAAUUCUCAAACAUCAGUUGCUAAAAUAAGAAUGAGCGGAAGGAUCGUGUCAUCAACGAUCGUUAAACUUGGCAUUAGUGAAUUUUCAAUCAAAACCUCCGCAGAAGUUUUGGUUCCUGAUUUAGAUGAGGAUAUUCUCUCCAAGUAUGACGCGAGGAA